CACACUACACCAGCACACACCCGCCAGCAUGGCCAAGCUUCUCCUACUCCUCCUGACUGUUGGGACGUGCUGCUGGGCACAGCUUCUCGUCAGUCCUCCCUCACGCAACUGCCAUGAGUUGGAAGCAGCAGACGAGAGUUCCCAGGCUGUGAAGCAACUUCCUGAGUACGUUGCUGGCGAGGUGAGUAACACUUCCACUCUA